rnacentral:rRNA from 1 species
AGUGGCGGACGGGUGAGUAACGCGUAAGAAUCUAACUUCAGGACGGGGACAACAGUGGGAAACGACUGCUAAUACCCGAUGUGCCGCGAGGUGAAACCUAAUUGGCCUGAAGAAGAGCUUGCGUCUGAUUAGCUAGUUGGUGGGGUAAGAGCCUACCAAGGCGACGAUCAGUAGCUGGUCUGAGAGGAUGAGCAGCCACACUGGGACUGAGACACGGCCCAGACUCCUACGGGAGGCAGCAGUGGGGAAUUUUCCGCAAUGGGCGAAAGCCUGACGGAGCAACGCCGCGUGAGGGAGGAAGGUCUUUGGAUUGUAAACCUCUUUUCUCAAGGAAGAAGUUCUGACGGUACUUGAGGAAUCAGCCUCGGCUAACUCCGUGCCAGCAGCCGCGGUAAUACGGGGGAGGCGAGCGUUAUCCGGAAUUAUUGGGCGUAAAGCGUCCGCAGGUGGUCAGCCAAGUCUGCCGUCAAAUCAGGUUGCUUAACGACCUACAGGCGGUGGAAACUGGCAGACUAGAGAGCAGUAGGGGUAGCAGGAAUUCCCAGUGUAGCGGUGAAAUGCGUAGAGAUUGGGAAGGACAUCGGUGGCGAAAGCGUGCUACUGGGCUGUAUCUGACACUCAGGGACGAAUGCUAGGGGAGCGAAAGGGAUUAGAUACCCCUGUAGUCCUAGCCGUAAACGAUGGAUACUAGGCGUGGCUU